rnacentral:rRNA from 1 species
GGCUGUCGUAAUGCCUAAAAAGCAUUGCAUACAAGGGCCGGGCAAGACCGGUGCCAGCCGCCGCGGUAACACCGGCGGCUCGAGUGGUAACCGCUAUUAUUGGGUCUAAAGGGUCUGUAGCCGGCUGACUAAGUCUCUUGGGAAAUCUGACAGCUUAACUGUCAGGCUUUCAGGAGAUACUGAUCGGCUCGAGACCGGGAGAGGUGAGAGGUACCUCAGGGGUAGGGGUGAAAUCUUGUAAUCCUUGAGGGACCACCAGUGGCGAAGGCGUCUCACCAGAACGGAUCUGACGGCAAGGGACGAAAGCUAGGGGCACGAACCGGAUUAGAUACCCGGGUAGUCCCAGCCGUAAACGAUGCUCGCUAGGUGUCAGGCAUGGCGCGACCGUGUCUGGUGCCGCAGGGAAGCCGUGAAGCGAGCCACCUGGGAAGUACGGCCGCAAGGCUGAAACUUAA